GACGAACGCUGGCGGCGUGCUUAACACAUGCAAGUCGAACGAAGAGCGAUGGAUGCUUGCUUCUAUCAAUCUUAGUGGCGAACGGGUGAGUAACGCGUAGUCAACCUGCCCUUCAGAGGGGGACAACAGUUGGCAACGGCUGCUAAUACCGCAUACGAUAUAAUCUCGGCAUCGAGGAGCGAUGAAAGGUGGCCUCUACAAGUAAGUUAUCACUGAAGGAGGGGAUUGCGCCUGAUUAGGUAGUUGUAGGGGUACCGGCCCACCAAGGCGAUGAUCAGUAGCCGGUCUGAGAGGAUGAACAGCCACAUUGGGAAUAAGACACGGCCCAGACUCCUACGGGAGGCAGCAGUGGGGAAUCUUCCGCAAUGGACGAAAGUCUGACUGAGCAACGCCGCGUGAGUGAUGACGGCCUUCGGGUUGUAAAGCUCUGUUAAUCGGGACGAAAGGCCUUCUUGCGAAUAGUGAGAAGGAUUGACGGUACCGGAAUAGAAAGCCACGGCUAACUACGUG
rnacentral:rRNA from 1 species